rnacentral:piRNA from 1 species
UGGGAUGUCUUUGAUGCUUUUUGUGUGGC